CCUACGGGGGGCAGCAGUGGGGAAUAUUGGACAAUGGGGGGAACCCUGAUCCAGCCAUGCCGCGUGUGUGAAGAAGGCCCUCGGGUUGUAAAGCACUUUCAGUGAGGAAGAACGCCUGGUGGUUAAUACCCAUCAGGAAAGACAUCACUCACAGAAGAAGCACCGGCUAACUCCGUGCCAGCAGCCGCGGUAAUACGGAGGGUGCGAGCGUUAAUCGGAAUUACUGGGCGUAAAGCGCGCGUAGGUGGCUUGAUAAGCCGGUUGUGAAAGCCCCGGGCUCAACCUGGGAACGGCAUCCGGAACUGUCAAGCUAGAGUGCAGGCGAGGAAGGUAGAAUUCCCGGUGUAGCGGUGAAAUGCGUAGAGAUCGGGAGGAAUACCAGUGGCGAAGGCGGCCUUCUGGACUGACACUGACACUGAGGUGCGAAAGCGUGGGUAGCAAACAGGAUUAGAUACCCUAGUAGUC
rnacentral:rRNA from 1 species